GCCACAGACUGGGAGACAACCUAAAACAUGGACCACUUUCAAGAACUGAGUUACUCAUUCCACAGGAAGAGUCAAGAAAUCAAGCCUUUUAUCUUUUUUAAAGAAACCAUAACAAGGCAUUGGAGAAGAGGAGGCAGAGCAGGGAGUGGAGUUAAGCAUGUCAUCAGCUUAGAAUCAUUACGUUGCCAAGGAGAUCCAAAUCCAACCGUCUUGAAUUCCAUUGACCCUUAUCUGGCACCAAUUUAGUAUUGAAACUAAAUUUAGUUGAUUAGAGUCUUAUGUAUAGGAAUAAAUCCUUGAACUGCAA